rnacentral:rRNA from 1 species
GACGAACGCUGGCGGCGUGGAUUAGGCAUGCAAGUCGAACGGUAUCAUCCUUUCGGGGGUGAGAGAGUGGCGAACUGGUGAGUAACACGUAGGUUAUCUACCCUCAAGACGGGGACAACCCAGGGAAACUUGGGCUAAUACCGGAUGUGAGCAACUUUUAGUUGUUUGAAAGGUGGCGUAAGCUGUCGCUUGGGGAUGAGCCUGCGUCCUAUUAGUUAGUUGGUGAGGUAACGGCUCACCUAGGCAAUGAUAGGUAGGCGGCCUUAACGGGUGGUCGCCCACACUGGGAUUGAGAUACGGCCCAGACUCCUACGGGAGGCAGCAGUCGAGAAUAGUCUACAAUGGUCGGAAGACUGAUAGUGCGACGCCGCGUGAACGAUGAAUCCCUUCGGGGUGUAAAGUUCUUUUAAUGUGAGCAGUGCUUCUUAUAUUAACAGUAUGGGGAGAGAGAUAUUAGCAUAUGAAUAAGCAACGGCUAACUCCGUGCCAGCAGCCGCGGUAA